AUGGCUCAGGAUGAACGCUAGCGGCAGGCUUAACACAUGCAAGUCGAGGGGCAUCGGGAGUAGCAAUACUGCCGGCGACCGGCGCAAGGGUGCGUAACGCGUGAGCAACAUGCCCGUAUCAGGGGGAUAAUCCAUGGAAACGUGGUCUAAUACCCCAUAGUAAUUAUGUAAGGCAUCUUAUAUAAUUUAAAGCUUUGGUGGAUACGGAUUGGCUCGCGUGACAUUAGCUGGAUGGUAAGGUAACGGCUUACCAUGGCUACGAUGUCUAGGGGUUCUGAGAGGAAGGUCCCCCACACUGGAACUGAGACACGGUCCAGACUCCUACGGGAGGCAGCAGUGAGGAAUAUUGGACAAUGGAUGGAAAUCUGAUCCAGCCAUGCCGCGUGCCAGGAAGACGGCCCUAUGGGUUGUAAACUGCUUUUGUAUGGGAGCAAUAAGGGCUACGUGUAGUCCGAUGAGAGUACCAUACGAAUAAGCACCGGCUAACUCCGUGCCAGCCGCCGC
rnacentral:rRNA from 1 species